rnacentral:rRNA from 1 species
GGUUAAGCGACUAAGCGUACACGGUGGAUGCCCUGGCAGUCAGAGGCGAUGAAGGACGUGCUAAUCUGCGAUAAGCGUCGGUAAGGUGAUAUGAACCGUUAUAACCGGCGAUUUCCGAAUGGGGAAACCCAGUGUGUUUCGACACACUAUCAUUAACUGAAUCCAUAGGUUAAUGAGGCGAACCGGGGGAACUGAAACAUCUAAGUACCCCGAGGAAAAGAAAUCAACCGAGAUUCCCCCAGUAGCGGCGAGCGAACGGGGAGCAGCCCAGAGCCUGAAUCAGUGUGUGUGUUAGUGGAAGCGUCUGGAAAGGCGCGCGAUACAGGGUGACAGCCCCGUACACAAAAAUGCACAUGCUGUGAGCUCGAUGAGUAGGGCGGGACACGUGGUAUCCUGUCUGAAUAUGGGGGGACCAUCCUCCAAGGCUAAAUACUCCUGACUGACCGAUAGUGAACCAGUACCGUGAGGGAAAGGCGAAAAGAACCCCGGCGAGGGGAGUGAAAAAGAACCUGAAACCGUGUACGUACAAGCAGUGGGAGCACGCUUAGGCGUGUGACUGCGUACCUUUUGUAUAAUGGGUCAGCGACUUAUAUUCUGUAGCAAGGUUAACCGAAUAGGGGAGCCGAAGGGAAACCGAGUCUUAACUGGGCGUUAAGUUGCAGGGUAUAGACCCGAAACCCGGUGAUCUAGCCAUGGGCAGGUUGAAGGUUGGGUAACACUAACUGGAGGACCGAACCGACUAAUGUUGAAAAAUUAGCGGAUGACUUGUGGCUGGGGGUGAAAGGCCAAUCAAACCGGGAGAUAGCUGGUUCUCCCCGAAAGCUAUUUAGGUAGCGCCUCGUGAAUUCAUCUCCGGGGGUAGAGCACUGUUUCGGCAAGGGGGUCAUCCCGACUUACCAACCCGAUGCAAACUGCGAAUACCGGAGAAUGUUAUCACGGGAGACACACGGCGGGUGCUAACGUCCGUCGUGAAGAGGGAAACAACCCAGACCGCCAGCUAAGGUCCCAAAGUCAUGGUUAAGUGGGAAACGAUGUGGGAAGGCCCAGACAGCCAGGAUGUUGGCUUAGAAGCAGCCAUCAUUUAAAGAAAGCGUAAUAGCUCACUGGUCGAGUCGGCCUGCGCGGAAGAUGUAACGGGGCUAAACCAUGCACCGAAGCUGCGGCAGCGACGCGCGUUGUUGGGUAGGGGAGCGUUCUGUAAGCCUGCGAAGGUGUGCUGUGAGGCAUGCUGGAGGUAUCAGAAGUGCGAAUGCUGACAUAAGUAACGAUAAAGCGGGUGAAAAGCCCGCUCGCCGGAAGACCAAGGGUUCCUGUCCAACGUUAAUCGGGGCAGGGUGAGUCGACCCCUAAGGCGAGGCCGAAAGGCGUAGUCGAUGGGAAACAGGUUAAUAUUCCUGUACUUGGUGUUACUGCGAAGGGGGGACGGAGAAGGCUAUGUUGGCCGGGCGACGGUUGUCCCGGUUUAAGCGUGUAGGCUGGUUUUCCAGGCAAAUCCGGAAAAUCAAGGCUGAGGCGUGAUGACGAGGCACUACGGUGCUGAAGCAACAAAUGCCCUGCUUCCAGGAAAAGCCUCUAAGCAUCAGGUAACAUCAAAUCGUACCCCAAACCGACACAGGUGGUCAGGUAGAGAAUACCAAGGCGCUUGAGAGAACUCGGGUGAAGGAACUAGGCAAAAUGGUGCCGUAACUUCGGGAGAAGGCACGCUGAUAUGUAGGUGAGGUCCCUCGCGGAUGGAGCUGAAAUCAGUCGAAGAUACCAGCUGGCUGCAACUGUUUAUUAAAAACACAGCACUGUGCAAACACGAAAGUGGACGUAUACGGUGUGACGCCUGCCCGGUGCCGGAAGGUUAAUUGAUGGGGUUAGCGCAAGCGAAGCUCUUGAUCGAAGCCCCGGUAAACGGCGGCCGUAACUAUAACGGUCCUAAGGUAGCGAAAUUCCUUGUCGGGUAAGUUCCGACCUGCACGAAUGGCGUAAUGAUGGCCAGGCUGUCUCCACCCGAGACUCAGUGAAAUUGAACUCGCUGUGAAGAUGCAGUGUACCCGCGGCAAGACGGAAAGACCCCGUGAACCUUUACUAUAGCUUGACACUGAACAUAUGUUCUAACGUUGACCCGUAAUCCGGGUUGCGGACAGUGUCUGGUGGGUAGUUUGACUGGGGCGGUCUCCUCCUAAAGAGUAACGGAGGAGCACGAAGGUUGGCUAAUCCUGGUCGGACAUCAGGAGGUUAGUGCAAUGGCAUAAGCCAGCUUGACUGCGAGCGUGACGGCGCGAGCAGGUGCGAAAGCAGGUCAUAGUGAUCCGGUGGUUCUGAAUGGAAGGGCCAUCGCUCAACGGAUAAAAGGUACUCCGGGGAUAACAGGCUGAUACCGCCCAAGAGUUCAUAUCGACGGCGGUGUUUGGCACCUCGAUGUCGGCUCAUCACAUCCUGGGGCUGAAGUAGGUCCCAAGGGUAUGGCUGUUCGCCAUUUAAAGUGGUACGCGAGCUGGGUUUAGAACGUCGUGAGACAGUUCGGUCCCUAUCUGCCGUGGGCGCUGGAGAACUGAGGGGGGCUGCUCCUAGUACGAGAGGACCGGAGUGGACGCAUCACUGGUGUUCGGGUUGUCAUGCCAAUGGCACUGCCCGGUAGCUAAAUGCGGAAGAGAUAAGUGCUGAAAGCAUCUAAGCACGAAACUUGCCCCGAGAUGAGUUCUCCCUGACCCUUUAAGGGUCCUGAAGGAACGUUGAAGACGACGACGUUGAUAGGCCGGGUGUGUAAGCGCAGCGAUGCGUUGAGCUAACCGGUACUAAUGAACCGUGAGGCUUAACCU